rnacentral:miRNA from 1 species
UAGUUUGAUCCACAGCACAAAG